GCUCAUACCGGAGGGAUCAUCGCCAAUGAGUGAUCGGUUUGCUAGUUCACGCAAAUCUAAAACUCCUUCGUAAGGAGACCCGGAAAAAGAAAGGCGGAUAUUAGCUUGGCCGUCCCUGGUCGAAUCCAAAUUGUGGCCCUACACGGUGAGGGUUGUAAUCUACCUCAGGGUAAUCCAUUUCUAUUUAUUACCUAAUUGUUCAUAUUCCUACUAGUAAAGUUUUAAAUUUACGAAGAGGAGCACUUUGACGCCCAGAAAGUCACAUGUCCAGACCAACCGCUGACGAUUUCUAAAAAGUUAUUUGAUGCAUGAACCUCCAUGUACUAUGUAAUCCAUGUUAAUAGUUAUGUACUAUAACUAUGAGACAUUAGAAAACCAUGUAUGUUAAUCAUGAACAACCGACCAGUAUCAAGUAUGUACGUCUCAUAGGAACGCUAUGUCAAGAAAAGAAUGAAAAUGUGACCAGUGUCA